rnacentral:lncRNA from 1 species
GGUAAACUGAACCAUAUAACGUGACUGCAUCGUGACUAUAGGUCAACCAAGGUCGGAACAUAAGGCACUUAGGUGAUCUAGCCAGGGUAUUCAACCUCUAUCUUUAUGUGAAAACCAAAUCAUGAACCUUAUAGUACGGACAAGGAUACUCGUACUUCUUUUACAGAUACGGCUUAAUAAAAAUGCAUUAAACAAAUAUGAACUCCUGAGGCCUUUCU